ACAUUAUUUAGGUUGAUAGCAUGUUGGGAAGGCGUGAAAAUCCAGGGGAACAUGAAGCUAUGCGGAAGAUGAAGAAUGAAUUCAUGAUAAACUGGGACGGUUUACGAACAAAGGAUAGAGAACGAGUUCUGGUACUCGCUGCCACCAACAGACCAUUUGACCUCGACGAAGCUGUUAUUAGACGGCUUCCCCGGAGAUUGAUGGUUAAUCUUCCAGAUGCUACGAACAGAUCAAAGAUCUUGAGUGUUAUUCUAGCAAAAGAAGAUAUAGCACCAGAUGUUGACUU